rnacentral:rRNA from 1 species
UCUCCUGGAAACGGGUGGUAAUGCCGGAUGUUCCACAUGAUCGCAUGUGAUUGUGGGAAAGAUUCUAUCGGCGUGGGAUGGGGUCGCGUCCUAUCAGCUUGUUGGUGAGGUAACGGCUCACCAAGGCUUCGACGGGUAGCCGGCCUGAGAGGGCGACCGGCCACAUUGGGACUGAGAUACGGCCCAGACUCCUACGGGAGGCAGCAGUGGGGAAUAUUGCACAAUGGGCGCAAGCCUGAUGCAGCGACGCCGCGUGAGGGAUGGAGGCCUUCGGGUUGUAAACCUCUUUUGUUUGGGAGCAAGCCUUCGGGUGAGUGUACCUUUCGAAUAAGCGCCGGCUAACUACGUGCCAGCAGCCGCGGUAAUACGUAGGGCGCAAGCGUUAUCCGGAUUUAUUGGGCGUAAAGGGCUCGUAGGCGGCUCGUCGCGUCCGGUGUGAAAGUCCAUCGCUUAACGGUGGAUCUGCGCCGGGUACGGGCGGGCUGGAGUGCGGUAGGGGAGACUGGAAUUCCCGGUGUAACGGUGGAAUGUGUAGAUAUCG